rnacentral:rRNA from 1 species
GACGAACGCUGGCGGCGUGCUUAACACAUGCAAGUCGAACGGUCAGACGCCUUCCUUUUUGGUGGGUCGGUAUGGGUGGCGAACGGAUGAGUAACACGUGAGUAACCUUCCCCCUUCUUCUGGAUAACCGCAUGACGGAGUGGCUACUACGUGAUAUUCUGGGUCUGUCGCAUCAUUGGUCUGGGACAGUUUUUGUUUCGGUGGUGGAUGGGCUCGCGCCCUAUUAGCUGGUUGGUGGGGUAAUGGCUUACCAAGGCGACGAUGCGUAGCCGACCUGAGAGGGUGAUCGGCCAUACUGGAACUGAUACACGGUCCAGACUCCUACGGGAGGCAGCAGUAGGGAAUCUUACGCAACGGGCGGAAGCCUGAUGGAGCAACGCCGCGUGAGGGAUGAUGGUCUUCGUCUCGUAGAACUCUGCUAUUAGGGGAGAACAAAUGUGUAAGUAACUAUGCACGUCUUGACGGUAGCUGAAUAGAAAGCCACGGCUAACUACGUG